UGGGCAUGGGGGGGGAAGGGAUUUUUGCUACCUGUUCUCUAAACCACCACCCGCCAUCGCUACCAGAUCAGGCGAUCCGGUCCAAACUGGGAGCAUUUCACCCCUGCAUAAAACCCCAGAUUUUUUAUUCAUUAAAAAUUAUUCCAGGCCACCAAGGAAUGCCUGGCCUGUGAAUCAGCUAUUUAGCAGCAAACACAGCGGCAACAGGUAGUGGUGUGGUAAAGCUAGUGUUAUACAACUUCAUGGGUUUGGGGUGGAGGGGGGGAAGAAAAGUGGGGGGGGUGGUUGUUGGCAGCUGUAAAUUUAUUUUUUUUCAAAAGUGCCAGCAGGCCUCUCACAAAGCUGCUUUGGCAAGCCUGCUGGGAACAAAAACGGACUCCCCCACUCCCGUUUUUUGGUUCAGCUAGCAGACUUCAGGGAAGCCUGCUGGGAGCAAAAACGGACCCCCCCACUCCCGUUUUUUGGUUCAGCUAGCAGACUUCAGGGAAGCCUGCUGGGAGCAAAAACGGACUCCCCCACUCCCGUUUUUUGGUUCAGCUAGCAGACUUCAGGGAAGCCUGCUGGGAGCAAAAACGGACCCCCCCCAUUUUUUGGCUAGCACCCAGCUGAGCCACGCGGUCAUCAGUUUUUUUAAAAAACUUUUUAAAAGUUUUUAAAAAAACUUUUAAAAGCAUUUUUUUUGGCCGAAGAAAAAAUGCUUUUAAAAGUAAAAAAACAAAACCUAUGAUCGCACAGCUCAGUUGGGCAUGGUGGGGGGAGAGAUUUUUGCUACCGGUUCUCCGAACCAUCCGCUGACAUCGCUACCGGAUUCGGCGAUCGGGUCCGAACCAGGAGCAUCUCACCCCUGCUUUGUCUCCUCCAUUAACGACUCAAAAUAGUCGACCGACUGGUCAUGUCCCAUUCCCAAUCGUAUCUCGUGUAAACUUCCAAGGGCGGUGCAGAUAGUCCUCAAUUUACAACCACAAUUGAGCCCAAAAUUUAUGUUAAGCUGAGAAUUUUUUAAGUGAACUUUGUCCUAUUUUAUGAUUAUGAUUAUUAUUAUUAUUUUGCCACAUUAAGUAAAUUACUGCAGGUGUUAAAUUAGUAACCCGGUUGUUAAGUGGAUCCGGCUUCCCCAUUGACUUUGCUUGUCAGAAGGUCGUAUAAAGGAAUCCCAUGAGUCCGGGACACUGCAACCGUCAUAAAUAUGAGACAAUUGCCAAGCAUGUAUGUAAAUCAUGUCACCAUGGGGAUGCUACAAUGGACACAGGUGUGAAAAAUGGUCCUAAAUCACUUUUUUCAGUCCCAUUAUAAUUUUGAACAGCCACUAAAUGAACUUUUGUAAGUCAAGGACUACCUGUACAUGUAACAAUGAAGCUUCCAGCUGAAAAAAUAAGUAUAUCCCAGUAAGGUAAAGGUAAAGGUUCCCCUCACACAUAUGUGCUAGUCGUUCCCGACUCUAGGGGGCUCAUCUCCGUUUCAAAGCCGAAGAGCCAGCGCUGUCCAAAGAUAUCUCCGUGCUCAUGUGGCCGGCAUGACUCAACGCCAAAGGCGCACGGAACACUGUUACCUUCCCACCAAAGGUGGUCCCUAUUUUUCUACUUGCAUUUUUACGUGCUUUCGAACUGCUAGGUCAGCAGAAGCUGGGACACGUAACGGGAGCUCACCCCGUUACGUGGCAGCACUAGGGAUUCGAACCACUGAACUGCCGACCUUUCGAUCGACAAGCUCAGCGUCUUAGCCUCUGAGCCACGACGUCCCUUAUGAACAUAGCAAAAGUGCCGUCGUAACGUCAGUCACUAAACGAAACGCUAUCAGUUGAGGACUACCUGCACCAACCUGGAAAAGGAGUUUUGGCCAUUCAAGCAGGGGAGAUUUUCCUGCCCAGCCGUUUGAGCUUUCUACUGGUUCUACCAUAUCGCAAGAUCUAAAAUGGACAGCUAACAUCAAAAAGGUCAUCAAAAAAGGACAACAAAGAAUGUUCUUUCUGGGCCAACUCAGGAAGCUCAAACUGCCCAAGGAGCUGCUGAUCCAGUUCUACAGAGGAAUGAUUGAGUCUGUCAUCUGCACCUCCAUAACUGUCUGGUUCGGUUCUGCAACCCAACAAGACAGACACAGAUUUCAGAAAAUAAUUGGAACUGCAGAAAAAACAAUGGCUACCAACCUGCCUUCACUGAGGACCUGUAUACUGCACGAGUCAAAAAGAGGGCUGUGAAAAUAUCUACAGACCCCUCACAUCCUGGAAAUAAACGGUUUCAACUCCUACGCUCAAAACGACGCUAUAGGGCACUGCACACCAGAACAUAUAUGCACAAGAAAAGUUUUUUCCUGAAUGCCAUCACUCUGCUAAACAAAUAAUUCCCUCAACACUGUCAAAACUAUUUACUAAAUCUGCACUACUAUUAAUCUUCUCAUCAUUCCCAUCACCCAUCUCCUUCCACUUAUGACUGUAACUUUGUUGCUUGUAUCUUACGAUUUAUACUGAUAUUGUUUCCUGAUUGCUUAAUUGUUAAAUUUGUAUCCUAUGAUUAUCAAUAAGUGUUGUAAGUGUUGUACCUUAAUGAAGGUAUCUUUUCUUUUAUGU